GGUCGGUUAGCUCAGUGGUUAGAGCGUGGUACUAAUAUGUUUCUGACAUGUUCAGUAAUGCCAAGGUCGGGAGUUCAAGCCUCCCACUGAUCA
rnacentral:tRNA from 1 species